ensembl:lncRNA novel transcript, antisense to CBLN1
GCGGCAGCAGGGUUGGGCUCUCGCCGUGAGUCGACGAAGGGAGCGCGGGCGCGCGCCCGCGUCCGCGCACUGAGAGUCGCCUCGGCCGCUCGCUUUCUCGACUCCCGCCUCGCGCCUCGAUCCUGUUCCGCCUCCCUCGGCCCUCCUGCCCGCCCCCACUCGUCGGCCCUCAGGUACCUAAAAUGUCUCAUUAUUCAUCAAUUAAUGAAAAACAAAUGAAAAUUUGAGAGAGAUAUUCUGAAGAAUAAAAGGAUCAAGUUGGGUCAUUUCUAAAAUCUCAGAGACCUAAUAGGAUGGGGUCUUAGAGAAACAUCUUUUGAGCCACAGACUUCUUUGUUACCAGAAGGAAAAUGAAAGAAGAAAUUUAAAUACCACUUGAAGAGAGGUGCUGCCCAGUUCAUGAGUGCUGCUGCUGUCCUGCCCAAGUACCCAGCUUGCAGAGUGCCAGAGUUAGAGUCCCAGGGGUGUUCUCCACAGCUGCAUGCUUGAUCCAGGCCUAUCAGCAUUGUCUUUGAAUAUUAGCAAAUAAUGGAACAUGGGCCAAGGGUGAACCAUGACGAAUUUGUGUUCCAGCAGCCCUGCUUCUUUAGAAUUGACAGUCUGGCUUCGUGGUUAAUUCACAGCAUCUGAGGAAUACAUCCAAAGAGGGUGAUACUGUGGCAUGAUGGUACCAGGAUUCCAAGUUCAUUCCAGAGAAGAUGGCAAGAUGCAGAGAGGAGGAGUCACGCCUGAAGCCACACAGCUGACAUCAGAGCCAAAGCAUGAGCCUCAGUCUCUCUGACCCAGAGCUACCACCCUUGCUGCCUUGGGAAGAAGGAAGCCCCCUCCUAUUCUAUCCUUGAGCUGCCUUGGCAAGGAGGGGCCCCUUGCUGCCGCCAUCCUCACAGGACACCAUCCACAUGAGGGGAUGGUGAGCUCCACUUCCACCUUUUCUACAUGUCUGCUCUUUAAACUGCACACGUUGAUUCAUUCAUUCAUUCAUUCAUUCAUUCCCUUGAUAUUACCAUUCAUUUAUUCAUCAAGUAUUUAUUGAGCAUAUUUAUCUGCAUGGCAUUGUGCUAAUCGUAAUCAUCAUAUUCACCACUGCUGAGCAGAACAGUCAGGGUGCUGCCCUCAGGGAGUUACCAUGUAGUAAAGGAGACAGAUGGAAUCACACAGAGGAAUGCACGUCUGAUUGUAGCCUGACUGGAGUGCCAUGAAGGAGACCAAGAGGGCAGGGUGAUGGAGAAAGCACAGGAUGAAGUUCUCGUCUUCCUUCCAACAGAAUCUCAGUUGCACUCAGUUGUUGCCCCCCUCGAACCUCCCUUGAGCCUCAGGAGAAACCACCCUGAUUCAGAGGUCCAGAGAAGACCUGACUAGCCCAAGGUAAUUCCGUCCCCUUGCCAGAGUGGCUUGGGCAGGGACACGGGACCUAUUUCAAUGAGGCCAAUGAGACAAAGGUAUUUCUGCUGGGGAGGCAGGGGCUUCAAGCAAAGGGUCUUGCUUGAAAGAGCCACCGGAAGAGGGCUCUCUCCUUCCUUAGGGUGUCACCGUGUCUGGAUGCGAUGCCUGGAAGUGCUACAGCCACUCGCGCCCAGCCUGAAGAUGAAACCAACCCCAAACACAGCCAAGCAGAGAGAUGGAAAGAACUAGGACCCUAAUUACACCACUGAGCAGCUAUAGCAACCAGUUCCAGAGCCCUCUGACUUCCCGCCAAAGUGAGAUGAUAAGAUACUGUUUAAUUUCUCUCUUUUAUAGCCAAACACACCAAAAUUGACACAGAGAUGUGAGCCAUACCUACUACUGUUACUGCUCCAUCCCUAGCUCCAACCACAGUGCAUGGUACAUGGUAGAGAGCCAACAAACACUUGAAGAAUGAAUGGUGCAUAUUGAGUGGGAUUUUCCAGAGGCAGACCUGGAGACAAGGCUUCAAGUGCGUGUGUUGUAUUAAGGAAAUGCUCCCAGGGGACAAUAGCAGAGUGGCAGAAAUGGGACAAGGGGGCCAGGGAGCCAAGAACAGAGAAUCAAUCGUCUAAACAGAGCCCCCUGUUUUUUGUUUCACCUGGGAGUAGCUUCUACCUGAUCCCCAGGGGAACUCUGGGAUGUCAGUGACGGCUCAGCAUUGCCCCUGAGGCAAGGGAGCUGGGCUUUCCUAAUCCCCCACUCCUCAGUCUCUGGCUAAGCGCUGUCCCCAGGGGACUUAAUCACCCAAACACUUCCCCAAGAGUGGCAUCUGCUGACCACUGGAGGCACUGGUACAGUGAAGCGACAGAAGGGAUCAGAGAGGGUCCAGGUGGAGCACAGCAAUGUGGCUGAAUAAUAACUAUAUUAAUUCAUAUAGUUAAUUCUCAAGCAAUGGCAAAGUGUAGGCAGCUUCUUGUCUGCAAACGUUUCCAUGAUAUCUCUCCUGCAGCCAGACGGGUCUUUUCCUGCCGCCUACACAGAAUGGCCAUGGAGCAUCCCCAAC